CUUAGCUUCAGCGGAGAGGACUGCGGACUUCUCCAUCUAAUUUUGAAAAGAAAAUAAGUUCACGCGGCAAAGGGAAUAUACUAAAUAUAUAUAUUAAUUAAAUACGCCAACACUUGUAUACAACUAAAUCGUAGACUGUAUGUUUAUCUUUCUCAAUGGAGUAACUGAAUAAGGAAUGACCUGCGGAGGAGUGGUGAAUUGACUGUUGACUUUUCGCAGGAGGAGAAAGUAGCUCCCGUUGCCAACAAGGCAAUUGUUGCGGGGUCUACGCUGGGUAGCGGAUCACGACGGGGAUUCUGAAGAGGAUACGUUUACUGUAUGUAUGUUGCCUCGGAAAUAAAUCACGCCGAUAAGAUGGACCUGAAACUACUUCUGAUUUCAACGUUGUUAGGAGUCAUUUGUUACAGCAGUGCUCAGCAAGAAGGGAACGAGUGCAUCAAGGCUAAUGCCAAAUCCUGUGGGGAAUGUAUUCAAGUGGGAGCGAAAUGUGGCUGGUGCGUGGACCCAGGGUUCCUGAAGCAGGGUGAGGCCACAUCAACCCGCUGUGACGAGCUGGAGUCCCUGAGGAAGAGAGGUUGUAGCUCCACCAAGGUAGAGAACCCCCGAGGCAGCCAGUGGCUCCUGGAGAACAAGGCUGUGACCAACCGCAACAAGGGAGCAGAGAAUCUCAGAGCAGAGGACAUCACACAGGUCCAGCCACAGAAACUCACCCUCAGCCUCAGAUCGGGUGAACCCCAGUCUUUUAACCUGAAGUUCAAACGAGCCGAGGAUUACCCCAUUGACCUCUACUACCUGAUGGACCUGUCCAACUCCAUGAAGGACGAUCUGGAAAACGUCAAGAACCUGGGAACACAGCUCAUGCUGGAGAUGUCAAAGAUCACGUCUGAUUUCAGAAUCGGUUUUGGUUCCUUUGUAGAGAAGAAGUCGCUGAACCCCUGUACUGGGGACCAGAACUGCACCAGUCCCUUCAGCUAUAAGAACGUCCUAAAGCUGACCAGCAAUGGACAGGAGUUCAAUACCCUGGUGGAACAACAGCAGAUCGAUGGAAACCUGGACUCACCAGAGGGAGGCUUCGAUGCCAUCAUGCAAGUGGCUGUUUGUGGUGAGCACAUUGGCUGGAGGAACGUCACCCGUCUGCUGGUGUUCUCCACUGACGCUGGCUUCCACUUUGCUGGAGACGGGAAACUGGGAGGGAUUUUGCCCAACGAUGGGAAAUGCCACCUGGAGAACAACAUGUACACAAUGAGCCACUACUAUGACCACCCCUCCAUCGCUCACCUGGUUCAGAAACUUAGCGACAACAACAUCCAGACGAUCUUUGCCAUCACAGAGGAGUUCCAGCCUGUUUACAUGGAGUUAAAGAAUCUCAUUCCUAAAUCUGCAGUGGGGAUACUCUCUGCUAACUCCAGCAACGUUAUCAACCUCAUUAUUGAUGCCUACAAUUCUCUUUCCUCAGAGGUGAUUCUGGAGAACAGCAAGCUACCAGAGGGAGUGACCAUAAUGUACCAGUCACGCUGCAAGAACGGAGUGACUGGUGAGGGAGAGAUGGGAAGAAAAUGCUCCGAUAUCUCAAUCGGUGACGAGGUGUCUUUCACCAUAAGCAUCACAGCUAAACAGUGUCCUAAAAUGGGCAAACCAGAGACCAUCAAGAUCAAACCCCUAGGGUUCAAUGAGGAGGUGGAGAUCACUCUGAACUUCAUCUGCGAGUGUGACUGUCACAAAGAUAGCAUUGAGAACAGUGACAUCUGCCACAACGGCAACGGGACAUAUGAAUGUGGAACCUGCAGGUGCAAUGAGGGCCGUAUUGGUAGACAGUGUGAGUGCAGCACCAUCGAGGUGACCAGCGAAGACCUGGAUAAGAGCUGCCGUGAAGACAGCGGUACAGACAUCUGCAGCAACAACGGAGACUGUGUGUGUGGAACCUGUGAGUGCAAGAAGAGAGAGAACCCAGAGGAGCGCUACAGCGGGAUGUUCUGCGAGUGUGACAACUUCAACUGUGACCGCUCCAACAACAAACUCUGUGGAGGACAUGGUCACUGUGAGUGCAGGGUGUGUAUAUGUGAUGACAACUGGACAGGCAGUGCCUGUGACUGUUCUCUGGACACCACGACCUGCCUGGCUUCAAACAUGCAGAUCUGUAACGGACGAGGCACCUGUGAGUGUGGCAUCUGCAAGUGUACUGACCCAGAGUUCCAGGGCCCCAGCUGUGAGAUCUGUCCUACCUGUCCAGGGGUCUGCACAGUACACAAGGAGUGUGUUCAGUGCAGGGCCUUUGGGACGGGGGAGAAGAAGGACACGUGUGAGAGAGACUGUAGCAACUUCAACCUGAUCAAGGUGAAGGACAGGGACAAGCUGCCUCAGCCAGGACAGGCCUUCCCCCUGAUGCACUGUAAGGAGAGGGAUACCAACGACUGCUGGUUCUACUACACCUACGCUGUCAACAAAAAGUCAGAGAAGGAGGUCCAUGUGGUGGAACCACUAGACUGCCCUACGGGCUCUGACAUCAUCCCCAUUGUGGGCUGGCAUGGUGGCGGGUAUCGUGCUGAUCGGCCUGGCUUUGCUUCUCAUCUGGAAGUUGCUCAUGAUCAUCCACGACAGGAGAGAGUUCGCCAAGUUUGAGAAGGAGAAGAUGAAUGCUAAAUGGGACACGGGCGAAAUCCCUAUCUACAAGCAGUGGUGACCUGUCAUUACGGGCAGGCAAAGCUCCACCUGUUUGCCUGUUUUGCAUGUUAUUUUAGCAUUAAUAUAUGUCACAUAUCAGUUUGCAAACGAUGUACAAAAAAUUGUCAUUGAGUUACUAAAGCUGCAUACAAACAUG